AUGUCUCUGGGGUGCAUGUACUAAAAUUGAAACGAUACAGAGAAGAUUAGCAUCGCCCUGCGCAAGGACGACACGCAAAAUCGUGACUUGUGAAAAUCGGGA